UUAGGUAAUCGCAUCAGGUGCCCACGGUAAGCAGAGGAAAAGGUUGAAAUCCCACUAUAUCAAGUGUUUGUUUCAGGCUGCAGCAUACGCAGAAACAGAGCGAGGAGAAGGGAGCGAAAGAGGUUUUCAUGGGUGUAGAAAGGUUUCGGUUUGUGGUCGUGCUCAUGUUCUUGGUUUCCUUCCAUGUCCAUGUCUCCAGAAGCACAGAGGCCAGACCACUUCUCAUCGCCAAGGAGAACAGGUAUGUCCAGGUGUUGCAGUCACUUGGAAUCACAUGCCGCUGCUGCGAUGGCGUGGGAGGUGAAUGCCGGAGGAGUUGGGCGUACCCCUGUGCUAAGCUGGAGUGCCACCCUUGCAAGUUCUCGUGAGUUUUGCCUGGGAGCGAGUUCGGUUAUGUAUGUGUAGGAGCUGGUAGUCUUGUAAAUUGUUUCGAGGACUCAAAAUAUAGCAUUGGAAAUACUUCUUUUAUGUCCAGUAAUUGGAAAAAGGAUUCUCUGGUAAUCUUUC